AUGGAGCUCAGGAACGCCCUCUCGACCUCUUCAGAGGCCUCUCUCCUAAUCAAACACAUCACAUACUCCAUCACAGAGGCAACCCAGGGCAAUGUGAUCUUGCCAUCACAGCUUGUGAAGCCAAACUCAUCCUGAGACAUCCUCAGGAGCUCCCCGAUGAUCGGCGUGCUGAGGUACGCCAAUGGCACCUCAAACCGCCUCCCGUCAGCAGUGUACAUGGCGCAGUGGCCCUUCACUGCCACUGAUGUGCAGCACUCAUCGACUUCUUUUGCUGAAGUCCACAUGAGCCUCUUCCUCCCAAUGGCUGCCACUCUUUGCCACUUCUUUAUCAUCUGA
rnacentral:rRNA from 1 species